AUUGAACGCUGGCGGCAUGGCUAAAACAUGCAAGUCGAACGGACCCGCAAGGGUUAGUGGCGGAAGGGUGAGUAAAAGCAUCGAAUGUACCCCGAGGUGGAGGAUAGGCAUGGGAAACUGUGCGUAAUACUUCAUGAUCUCGAGAGAGCAAAGCAGCAAUGCGCCUUGGGAGCAGCGAUGUACCUAUCAGGUAGUUGGCGGGGUAAUGGCCCACCAAGCCGAAGACGGGUACCCGGUAUGAGAGUACGGCCGGGCACAUCGAGACUGAGACACUGCUCGGACUCCUACGGGAGGCUGCAGUAACGAAUAUUCCGCAAUGCACGAAAGUGUGACGGAGCAAUGCCGCGUGCAGGAUGAAGCAGCUUCGCUGUGUAAACUGCUGUCAGGGGCGAGAAACACUGAUCAGCCCCAGAGGAAGGACCGGCUAAACUCGUG
rnacentral:rRNA from 1 species